UGUCUCCGACGGUGAAUUUCUCAUUUUCUCUUAUUAUUACCAAGUUUCAGUCCUUACAAAUUCCAUCUCAGUCGAUAGAAAACAAAUUCCAUCUCUUCUCGCCACCCACUCUGCUUCCAACCAUUCACUCUAAUGGCCACUGCUACUCUGAUCCCUACAGAAACCGAUAAGCUCUCCAAGCUGCGUUCUGAUGUUGCAGGCCUCAAUCAGAUCAGUGAGAAUGAGAAAUCUGGAUUCAUUAAUCUCGUGGCCCGGUAUCUCAGUGGCGAAGCACAGCAAAUUGAAUGGAGUAAAAUUCAGACUCCCACUGACGAGGUGGUCGUUCCAUACGAGACCUUAGCUCCUCCUCCUGAAGAUCUCUCGGAAACUAAGAAGCUGCUAGACAAACUCGUCGUGUUGAAGCUCAAUGGAGGUUUGGGCACUACUAUGGGCUGUACUGGUCCCAAGUCUGUAAUUGAAGUUCGCAAUGGAUUGACUUUUCUUGACUUGAUUGUUAUCCAAAUUGAGUCUCUCAACUCCAAGUAUGGAUGCAAUGUUCCUUUGGUUCUAAUGAAUUCAUUCAACACGCAUGAUGAUACCCUAAAGAUUGUGGAGAAAUACUCAAAGUCAAACAUUGAGAUUCAUACUUUUAAUCAGAGCCAAUAUCCUCGGUUGGUUAUUGAAGAUUUUGUGCCACUGCCAUGCAAGGGACAGACUGGAAAGGAUGGAUGGUAUCCUCCUGGCCAUGGUGAUGUUUUUCCAUCCUUGUUGAACAGUGGGAAACUUGAUGCCUUCCUGUCUCAGGGUAAGGAGUACGUUUUUGUUGCCAACUCAGAUAACUUGGGCGCUAUUGUAGACUUGAAAAUCUUAAAUCACUUGGUCCAGAACAAGAAUGAGUACUGUAUGGAGGUGACGCCUAAAACCUUGGCAGAUGUAAAAGGUGGUACCCUGAUUUCAUAUGAAGGAAGAGUUCAGCUCCUGGAAAUUGCCCAGGUUCCUGAUGAACAUGUAAAUGAGUUCAAAUCCAUCGAAAAGUUCAAGAUCUUCAAUACAAACAAUUUGUGGGUGAAUUUGAAGGCUAUUAAAAGGCUUGUGGAAUCUGAUGCACUAAAAAUGGAGAUUAUUCCUAACCCUAAGGAAGUGGAUGGGGUCAAAGUUCUUCAGCUCGAAACAGCAGCUGGUGCAGCAAUUCGGGUACUCUGUCAAUACAUCAUCGUUCUACAUAUACAAUUCCCAGUACUUCUUUGUUACACUGAGAUCUUUGUUACGAUGAAUAUUGAGGCUGUGAAUAUUAUGCCAUCUAAAACUUGUAUGCAUUUCUACAGUCUGAUCUUUACACGUUGGUUGAUGGCUUUGUCAUCCGAAACAAUGCUAGAAGCAAUCCUGCGAAUCCCUCUAUUGAACUGGCCGCCGAGUUUAAAAAGGUUGCAAACUUCCUUAGUCGCUUUAAGUCCAUCCCUAGCAUCAUUGAACUUGAUAGCUUGAAGGUGACUGGUGAUGUAUGGUUUGGAUCAGGCAUUAUACUCAAGGGAAACGUCAMUGUUGCUGCAAAACCUGGUGUGAAACUGGAAAUUCCCGAUGGCGUUGUACUCGAAAACAAGGUGAUUAAUGGUCCCGAGGACAUCUAAGGAUCGUUUCAUGAUAUUUUGCUAGUAUACCCAUGUUGAGCAGUUGAAAUCCAUAUGCUAGUUGUGUGGUUAUAUCUUCAAUAGACUAGUUGUAGGAUUUUUGACGAAAUGUGAUGGUAACCAAUAAAGAUGUUGUAAUACUCGUGAUAAUUUGUGAGUUAUUACACCUACGAAAACUUCCCGAGAUUUUGUUGUAAUAUUGGUGUGGCUUGCAUAUUUUCAUACAUUUGGGAGCAUGGAGGCGUUUACGUGGACCCUAAAGGGAUGUAGACAUCCAAGUCUCAGCUUGAUCUUAAAAUUGUUAUCCAUUCCAUCAAAUAGACUUUUUAUAUUC